CUUCAACACAUAGGCUAAUCUUAUCUGGGCAAUCCUUCUACUGAGACUCCUUUCUCAGGUGAGUAUACUCUGGAUGAAGUCAACAGUUUCAGCUAACCAGGACAGUGACUAUUGCUCUAUGCCUGCUGAAACAGAGUGGCCCUCAACAUCUCUGAGUCGAAUGCUGACAUUAGUUUAAUGCUCAGCAUUAGCUGAGUCUACUUACUGCACUCACUGGUGAUGAAAAGACAGACUGAAUCUUUCUUCUUUUGAUCACAGGAAUAACAAUCAAUCAUGCAAUUGUUCAUUUAACCGGUAUGGCAACAACUCUCUGAACCCUCUUAAGUCGUGUCCCUUCAAAGCUUCAACGUUAGAUUUCUGAAUCCUCCUCCCUUACACGCACCCAUUCUUUCUGCCUAAUAGAAAUAAUUAACUGUUGUCCUUCCCUUCUGUAUGAGUAUCUGCAAAUCCAGACAUAGGACAUAAGAAGAAACCCAGUUAUAGAAGAAAGCAAAAGCCCUCUCCACAUAUCUUCUGCAAAGUUGUAGAACAGUGUGGCACAAAUAUGCCCCAAUUCAUCAGUUCUUGCCCAUCAUCAAAGAAAAGGCUUUUAAUGGGGGUAUUUUAUCACAACAGAAGUGGCACAAGAACACCAUCAAAUUCUCAAAAUCUUAG
rnacentral:lncRNA from 1 species